AGAUUGAACGCUGGCGGCAGGCCUAACACAUGCAAGUCGAGCGGCAGCACGGGUACUUGUACCUGGUGGCGAGCGGCGGACGGGUGAGUAAUGCCUAGGAAUCUGCCUAGUGGUGGGGGAUAACGUUCGGAAACGGACGCUAAUACCGCAUACGUCCUACGGGAGAAAGCGGGGGACCUUCGGGCCUCGCGCCAUUAGAUGAGCCUAGGUCGGAUUAGCUAGUUGGUGAGGUAAUGGCUCACCAAGGCGACGAUCCGUAACUGGUCUGAGAGGAUGAUCAGUCACACUGGAACUGAGACACGGUCCAGACUCCUACGGGAGCAGCAGUGGGAAUAUGGACAAGUGGGACGAAAGCCUGAU
rnacentral:rRNA from 1 species